UUUACAUGCAAAGUAAAUUCAAACAUGUAUUAUUAUCAAAUUUUAGGAAAAGUGGAUAUUAAGUACCUACUAUAACAGUAAAUCUUAUGCCUCAUUUGUCGCCAUGAUCGUUACUACUCGAGAUGACUCUUACAGUGCAGAGCAAACUGCACACACAGGCGGAGCUCCCGCCAGACCCGGACGGGUGUUGCUAACCCUCUGUGGCCCCAACAACAUCAGCAGAUGUUCUGCAACACCAACCAUUGAACAAAGAGCGCACAAAAGCCGUUCUCGAAAAUCUAAAUGUGCCUUUAAGAAGUAGGCUAGAAAAAAAGAGUGGAGACCACGUUACUCCACCCUCCUCUAAUUUCCCAUUCCCUUUUCUGCACUGCCCAUUCUUGCCUCCUUGCUUUUCCUUGCCUCUGUCCCUUCCUGCUCCCUGGAGAGCACAUGUCAUAGGCCCACUCAGACCUGACCCAAACCUCUGGAGGUGGGGCCCGGGAAUUUGUCUGGAAGCUCCCCCGGGAAUUCCGGCGACCAGCUCAGUUUGCCAACCACAGCUCAGCGUGAUCAAGUUCAAGGUCCUCAAGCUCAGCCUAAAAAGACCUCACGCCAGCCCAGCUCCACAAUCGCAUGCCCCUGAAAGCCUGCUGCCCAGCCUGCUGCCUGCCAACAUCCUGUUUUUCCUCCAAACUCCAUCUCCUACCACCUCCCCCACGUCCCACCCCCUGCAUCCAGAAUGACUCCUCCCGUCCUCAGCAUCCCAGCUGCAUUCGCUCGUCCACACGGCAGUCCGCACAUGGUGGAGAAGUGUCCCUGCUCGCCUCUCCGGGACUCAUGCACGACCCGCCGACAGGAGGGCAGGUUCCGCGUCCUCACGGGGCGGGCUGGGUGUCUAGGCGGCUGAACUGAAUCAGAGUCUGCAGGUGUGUGCAGAUGGGGUCACACACUCUCCAAGUUUCAUGCAAGCCACACACAGGAGGCUGUGUGGCCAGGGAGCUGGAGGCAGGCCCUGAAGGAUUGAAGCCAUCAGUGUUUUAGCAGAAGCCAGAGCCUUCCUCUCAGCCUGGAGGCCAACAAAAUAGGAAGCAGCUCAAUUUUUUGCCAAGAACCCUUUAUCAAGGGUUAGCAAGCCCCUCAGGCAGAACGAGGCCUCAGGGCCUAUUUGGAAUAGACCCAGACCGCACACGGAAUGUGUCGUGAGGCCUGUAAGGUAAGAUGCCCUGGGCCGGUGCUCUCGGCAAGGAAGGAAACCUACUUUCACUGAGCACAUACGAAGUCUCAGGAUUUUACUACGCAAUUCUACUUAACCCC
rnacentral:lncRNA from 1 species